AAAACAUGUUUUUUUGAAAAUAAUUUAAAAUUUUCCCUGCCCAAUGAAUAUUUUAAUGGCUGCAGUAUUUUGACUGUGCAAAGGUAGCAUAAUCAAUUGUUUCUUAAUUGGGAACUUGGAUGAAUGGGUUGAUAAGGAAUAAACUUUAUUAUUUUAAUAAUUCGAAUUUAUUUUUUAAUUUAAAAAAAUUAAAUUUUUUAGUGGGACGAUAAGACCCUAUAGAAUUUUAUAUUUAUUUAAAUAUUUAAUAUAUAUUAAUUAUUAAAUUUUUUUGUAAAUAUUUAAUUGGGAGGAUUAUUAAAAUUAAUGAACUUUAAUUAAGUAUUAAUCAAUAAUUUUUGUUUAAAGGAAUUUAUUAUAUUAAAUGUAAGAUUAAAUUACCUUAGGGAUAACAGCGUAAUACUUUUGGAGAGAUCAUAUUAAUAAAAGUGUUU
rnacentral:rRNA from 1 species